rnacentral:rRNA from 1 species
UCAGGUGACUAUAGCAUCAGGGUUCCACCUCUUCCCAUUCCGAACAGAGAAGUUAAGCCUGAUCACGCCGAUGGUACUGCAUAACAGUGGGAGAGUAGGUAGUCGCCGUUU